UUACGGCCAUAUCACGUUGAAACACAGGUUUUCGUACGAUCACCGAAGUCAAGCAACGUCGAACCUGGUUAGUACCUAGAUGGGUGAUCGUUUGGGCACAUCAGGGGCU